rnacentral:rRNA from 1 species
GACGUAGGGUGCAAGCGUUGUCCGGAUUUAUUGGGCGUAAAGAGCUCGUAGGCGGUCUGUCGAGUCGGUCGUGAAAACUUGGGGCUUAACCCUGAGCUUGCGGUCGAUACGGGCAUGACUGGAGUUCGGCAGGGGAGACUGGAAUUCCUGGUGUAGCGGUGAAAUGCGCAGAUAUCAGGAGGAACACCGGUGGCGAAGGCGGGUCUCUGGGCCGAUACUGACGCUGAGGAGCGAAAGCGUGGGGAGCGAACAGG